AGCGGGAAGGUAGAAAGGACUUACGUCCGGCCUCAUAAGCCGGAAGACGCCGUUCGAGUCGGCAUUCCGCUACCA
rnacentral:tRNA from 1 species